CUAAGGAUAUUAUACGGAAUAUAAGACCUUGGGUCUUAUAAACAGAACGUUCCCUGUCUUGUUUAGUUUUGAAGGAUCAUUCCUUCGAAACGUGUUCUUUGAAAACUAGAUAACAGUAGACAUCACAUUCAAGUAAUACAAGAUAUCACAUAGUGAUUCUUUUUAACGGUUA
rnacentral:misc_RNA from 1 species